GGCACAUUACACAAUGGGAGAGGAAGUCCAGAGGCAGACAGAGGGACUAAUAGAGAAGACUCUGGCGUUGGCAGCCUAUGCAUUAUUAUUCUUUAAGGUAACAAGAAAAACGGUAUUGAUCCUGGAUGGAGAACUUGGGCUUGGCUCUGCCCCGGGCUGUGGGAGGUUUCUGGACUUCCAAAAUCCAGAGAAUAAUUCAACCUCAAACCCUGAGCCUUCCUACCAUAAAGUCUGACUCUUGGGAGUGGCUUCUGGUACCCAGCUGAGCUUCCUGCCCCACCUGUAAUCAGGCACCAGCUUCUGCUGCAAGCUUCACCUAUAUAGCUCUUGGCCCAGAAUGGAAUUGCAUUUUCCCUUACUUGACAGAUAUCAGAAUACUUUGAGAUGGAUAUUGGCCUCCAGCUCACAGAUGAAGACUCUGGAGAGCUCGUGCCGUCAGGUGGCAGAGACACAUCUUUGCUCCUUCAGGAUCUGAGUCUGGGUCCUAAACCACACGACCACAUUGGUGGCUGGAGAGACAUUACUAAGAAGGCAGGCACUGUGGUUGGCAGAUGGCAACAGGGAUGUGGGAACCAGUCCAAGCCCAGAUGGGACAGUCAACCUCAGCAAGGUUCCUGCCCAACCGGGGAGUGGCUGCCAUGAAUGCCGAGGACAUCCACUGGAGGCAGAUCUGCCAGGACAGAGAGGGGCCCUCUCAGGCCAGGUACCUAUUUUCAUUAUCAAGGCUACAUUCCUAGAAUACCUCGGUUUCCAGGCGCUCAUUACCGGAGGAUCAAAGUGCCAAAGGAAAAUACUCAUUUGAAGCUAAGACCUGGAUUUUUCAUUUUCAUAAUUGGUCGUUAAAUCUGCACGCUCCAAGGGCACAGAUAGAAGGGCACUGUUGGACAAAGUACCUCUAUGGCAGCCCAGUGGCCCACGGGGGAGGGUGGAGCCAGUGCCUGUAAGACCUAGAAGGCUAGUUUUCUACCCACUGCAGCUGGUCUGACUUGUCAGCCCAUGGACAAGAAGGAGAGGUCUGUCCCAAAUACUGAAAACUAUAGAAAGAGCCACGGACUUGUCAAAUCUCCUCCAGACUGUUCCAACUAGCAGCCCAGCAGACUGGAAGAUCUCACCUGAGAGGGAUUCUAACAGGGACAUUCAGUAAUAUCUGGAGCCAUCUGUGCGUAUCGCACUGGCAAAUGGGAGAAGGCAUCUUACUGCAGGCACCACGCCUUCCCCUGGGUAGAAUACUUGUGUUCCCCUCUUUCAUAGGUUGAAAUCCUGGUCCCCAACAUGACGUUAUUAGAAAGCAAGGCCUUUGGGGGUCAAGAGGGUGGAGACCCUAGGAAGAGAUGAGCAUUCACAUAAGAGGGGCCGCUGAUGGCUUUCCUCAUCAUCUCGUGACAGUCCUGCGAGGAGGUGUCAGUCUGUGGGCACGUGGCUCCCAGACUUCCAGUCCUCACAACCAAGAACCGGUUGCCCCAAGCGUCAAGUCUACAGAACGGAGGCGGAGAAGCCAGUUAUGCUUCAUCUCAUAUCUUGCAGCUGUUGUUUCUUCUCCCAGCUGGAGUCGUGGGGGUGACCAGUGGCAGGCGUGUGUCCUUUAAGAAAAAAAGAGAACAACGCAGGGCAGAAACCCAGGUCAACAAACACCUUGGUCAAGUGGCAUGUGGAAACAGCCCAGGCUCUGGAAUCCAGAAGACACUUUCUACACACGAUUUCGAUAUCUUGGCUGUCGGGCUCUGGGCAAGUUAAUCAGACUCUGAUUAGUGCAGCCUGAUUCUUGAGAUAAGAAUCCUGCCUACUUGAUGGUGUAGAUACAAUGACUAGACAUGCCCACAUCUGGGAAAUGGCUACCGGGAAAUGGUCCAUGGACGGUUGCGCACGGGUCCUAUACCUCACAACCUUCCCUCAGCAUUCCCAUUUCCCUUGGCUUGAUGCUAUCCUUCCUACGUCAGGUAGGCAGGACUUUGUUGUCCCUGAUUAGCGAGGCUCUCCUUUGUACACCGAGCCUCCUCCUCUGCUUCCUAACUCCUGGACUUUUGUCCUUCGGGUAUCUGGUCCACUCUAGCUUUCAAACGCUGUUCUAAUACAUUAGAGAUGCCAGUCUGAGUCAUGCUCCGGCUUGCACGGUGACUCCCGGCUGCAGGGCAUCUGGGGGUGUUACCGUGGGUACAGGUCCGUGGAGCAUUUCCAAGGAAGUGUAUGUAUAGAUUUAAGUGAGUCCUGGAUUUGCGUGUCCAUGUGUAUUCCUGUGUCUCAUGUUAUGCAUGCGGCUUGAGGUCACCUCUGCUCCUUUCAACCCUGUUGUCACCAGGCCAGACUGGCCCAGGGCAAACUGAAAAUCUGGACUCUGUGUUCUAGAAUUAUGAAAACUUUCAAGACAGACACAACAAAGCAUGACAUAGAGGGUGGGGGUUCCCCAGGGACAGGCAGUCUGACGCAGGCUCCAGGGUCACUGAUCUGAACGGAGAGAUGUUCUCUUUGGGAUUUCUGAGUUGACUGUCUGGGUGCAUCAGCUAAGGUGAGGACCAGGAAACAGGAAAUACCUCUAUAAAAUUCCGGCCUCCACCCCAACCAUCCCCCACCCCUCCAUCUCCCCCACCCCCUCCCAUCAGUCCUUUGCCUAGGUAAGGUAUCCUAUUACCACUCCUGGGCUCUGCUUUCAGAACAUCAUUCAUCAGCAGGUUUAUGCAGGGCUUUUCUCUUUGUGCACUAAAGCCUCAACCUGCUGACCUGGGCACUGUAUAAACACUUCAAGCAGGUGCCCGAGUGGACCAAGAACCCUGCAUCUCGCAAGCUCUGGCCCAGACUGUUGUUCUGUGGCUGAGAAGCCAGCUGAGGGCUGGCUGAGGCUCUGAAUCCCCCAGUAUCCAGCCUGUACUUUCAGAGUGGCUUCAGUGACCUCUUGGCAAGAAGCCGAGGUAGCACUGCAAUCCCCAGUCACAGUGCUAACAACACCCGAAGUGAGCUAAGCCACCAUCUGGAAGUAGGGAUGAGUAGGGGCCUAACUGUGCUUCUGAUGCAAAUAGAAACCGAAAUCAAAAGGCCUCUUUCUGGGGUUAAUAGAAUGAUUUGGUUAAAAGUUUUGAAGCAUUUUACCACAACCUGUGGCCCCAGCAACAAGCCCUCAGUAUUUGCAUAUAUUUUGAAUGAAAAUUGUCAGGAACAUGCAAACUAGACAGCUAAGUGCAUCUUAUCAGAUGGUUGUGGGGAAUCUUGGAGAGGACCAGACAGGAACAGGUCAGGCCUGAGGCCCUUGGGCUUGAGCGAUCUAUCUGCAUCAGCCUGAUAACUGGCCUUCUCAAUUUCAACAAGCCUUGGCUACUCAAAAAAAAAAAAAAAAAAAAAAAAAAAAAAAAAAAAAAAAAAAAAAAAAAAAAAAAAAACCACCUGCCACAAACUCCAUGGAACCUGGAGAAAGAUAAAGGAGUCUUUAUGUGCCCCUGGUCUGGUUGAGGUCACCUGUAAGGAGUAGGGAGUGGGUGCCCCCCCCACCAGAGACUGAUCCAGUAUGCCAUUCAUUAACCAUGACACAGACACUGAGAGCCCAUUAAGCACAUGGCCUCCUCUUUAGCAUCGGGCUCCUUCAGCUGUGCUUAUAAACAAUAUGCUAUAUACGGACUUUUUUUUUUUUACUUGUUUUCAAGUAUAUUUGCUUAUCACAUUAUAAAGGUCAUGUAAGUUCUUUGCAGGAAAAACAAUCACCAUGCAAAUAUACAAAAUGAAAAAACCAACAAAGAACACAUGCCCCACAAUUCCACUGCCCAAAGGUUUACCAGCUAACUUGCCUCCAUCCUUCUACACUCUACCUUCUCCUCUGUGCUCAUUUCCUGGGGAUUCUAUGUCUGGAUAUGGAGCCCCUUGCUUCCCUUUGUGGCUUUCUUCAGUGUUCACUCUUUUUGGGGAUGAGAAGUGUGCCCAUUAUUGGGAUACACAUUACUGCCUCUCAUAUACCUGGCUCACACUUUCACACUCAAUUCUUGCAACCAGAGGCCCUCCUGACUCUGACAUCUUGUGAUAAUUUUAACAAAGCAUUUCUUUAGCGCCUAUGGCACGGCCGGUUCUUGAACAAGCAUGUCGUGUGACGUAAUCAAUGCAGAAGAGAAAGCUUCACACGACUCACAAACGAAGAAAGUCCGUGUUCAUGUCAAGAUGCUUAGCGUAUUCAAGGGGUAAUAGAGAAGCCAACAAAGUAGACUUGUGCUUUAGAGAAAGGCUCUUGUGGCAUGGGUCUUGUGCCAGGCUUCCUGAAGCAGCUGGGAGCUUGGUUCAGAGAAGUGUCCCUAGCACUAGAGAGUGUGCAUGUCCCUAGACAAACACGGCAAUGGUGAUAACUAUAGUCAGUGUCUCCUGUAUUUUGAGGUCUUGGGCACAUCCCGACAGAAGUAAGGAUACUGGUAAAGUUGGCAUAAUGAGAUUAAGUGCAGUGACAUAUUCCCGAGAUACAAGGAAUGCCAGGAAGUCUAGAGUUACUAGGAUUGUCUCGUUUCUUCUCCUUAAUAGCCUUUGCGAUAGGCGUUUCAUUUUUCUAAGCAUUUUUAUCUCUGAGAGACCAGUGAGAGGCCCAGGGUGAUCGUAUUGCAUAGGCUGAAGAAAGUGAGUAUAAGAGCUUGGAUUUGAACUCUGAUCCCUGAGAUCAGAGAGGAAAUGGAUAAUGGCUUUGCUGUCUCC